GCUGGGCCUGAGGGGCGGAGCCCAGGCCCGGAGGAUUUUCACGCUGUUCCCGCGCCAGGUGGCGGCUGCUACCUCUUCGGUUCGCGACGAACCUGUAGAGCACAGUUCGUCUCCCCGUCUCAGGCACCCCGCUCCCCUGAAAUCUGCAAAAUGGCUGAUAAUUUGGAUGAAUUUAUCGAAGAGCGAAAAGCCAAAUUGGCCAAAGACAAAGCAGAGUUGGAAAGUGAUCCACCUUACAUGGAAAUGAAGGGCAAGUUGUCAGAGAAGCUUUCUGAAAACAGUAAGAUACUGAUCUCUAUGGCUAAAGAAAACAUACCACCAAAUAGUCAACAGACCAGGGGUUCCUUAGGAAUUGAUUAUGGAUUAAGUUUACCACUUGGGGAUGACUAUGAACGGAAGAAACAUAAAUUAAAAGAAGAAUUGCGGCAAGAUUACAGACGUUAUCUUACUCAGGGCAUUACACAAGGGAAAAGAAAGACAAAUUUUCUAUCUACGAGUGAAACAGAUCCAUCAACUUUGGGAGUUUCUCUUCCUAUUGGUGAGAGGUUAUCUGCUAAGGAAAGGUUGAAACUUGAACGUAACAAGGAAUACAAUCAGUUUCUCAGGGGUAAGGAAGAAUCCAGUGAAAAGUUCAGGCAGGUGGAAAAGAGUACUGAGCCCAAGAGUCAAAGAAAUAAAAAACCUAUUGGUCAAGUUAAGCCUGAUUUAACUUCACCAAAACAGACAUCUUGCAAAAAUUCAGAGGGUCCUAGAAAAGAUGUCUUAACUCCUUCAGAGGCAUACGAAGAACUUCUGAACCAAAGACGACUAGAUGAUGAACUCGAAGUAAGGAAUAGAAGAAUUAUUAAAAAAGCAAAUGAAGAAGUAGGCAUUUCCAACCUAAAACAUCAGAGGUUUGCAAGCAAGGCUGGCAUGCCAGAUAGAAGAUUUCACAAAUUUAAUGAGGAUCGUGUUUUUGAUAGACGGUAUCAUAGACCAGACCAAGAUCCUGAAGUAAGUGAAGAAAUGGAUGAGAGGUUUAGAUAUGAAAGUGAUUUUGAUAGAAGACUUUUGAGAGUGUAUACAAAUGACAGGAUGCACAGGAAUAGACGAGGGAAUGUGCCUCCUAUGGAACAUGAUGGGGAUGUUAUAGAACAGUCAAACAUAAGAAUUUCAUCUGCUGAAAAUAAAAGUGCUUCAGACAAUGAACCAUCCAAAUCUGCUAAUCAAGAUGCUUGUAGUCCUUUUGCAGGGAUGCUGUUUGGAGGUGAAGAUCGAGAACUUAUUCAGAGAAGGAAAGAGAAAUACAGACUAGAACUGUUGGAACAAAUGGCUGAGCAACAGAGGAACAAGAGACGAGAAAAAGAUUUAGAACUCAGGGUUGCAGCGUCUGGAGCACAAGACCCUGAGAAAUCGUGGAAUGAAUUACUCACAUCAUUGCAGUUAAGUAAGGAGGAGCCUGAUAGACUAAAGCAGUUUAGUGUGGCACCAAGACACUUUGAAGAGAUGAUACCACCUGAAAGACCCAGAAUAGCUUUCCAGACACCUCUCCCUCCUUUAUCUGCCCAAUCUGUCCCACCCAUCCCAUCAGUUCAUUCCGUUCCUUCUCAAAAUGAAGAUUUGCGCAGUGGACUCAACAGCGCCUUUGGUGAAAUGGUGUCUCCCAGGAUUGCACCUCUGCCUCCACCUCCCCUACUACCCCCUUUGGCUACUAACUAUCGAACUCCUUAUGAUGAUGCAUACUAUUUUUAUGGGGCCAGGAAUACUUUGGAUCCCAGUCUUGCUUAUUAUGGUUCAGGAAUGAUGGGCAUACAGCCUGCAGCUUAUGUUAGUGCUCCUGUCACCCACCAACUAGCGCAACCUGUUGUGAAUACGGUUGGACAGAAUGAACUGAAGGUUACAAGUGAUCAAGUGAUAAAUUCAGGAUUGAUAUUUGAAGAUAAACCGAAACCUUCCAAACAGUCACUUCAGUCUUACCAAGAGGCUUUGCAGCAGCAGAUUCGGGAAAGAGAAGAAAGAAGGAAGAAAGAACGUGAAGAAAAAGAAGAAUAUGAAGCUAAAUUAGAAGCUGAAAUGAGAACAUAUAAUCCCUGGGGAAAAGGUGGAGGUGGUGCUCCUCUCAGGGAUACAAAAGGAAAUCUGAUAACCGAUUUGAAUAGGAUGCACAGACAAAAUAUAGAUGCCUACCAUAACCCAGAUGCAAGAACAUAUGAAGAUAAAAGGGCUGUUGUAUCUCUAGACCCAAAUUUAGCCACUUCAAAUGCUGAGAACCUAGAAGAUGCUGCAAAUAAAAGCUCAGGUCAUAUGCAAACACAGAGCUCUCCUUUUGCUCGGGGAAAUGUAUUUGGUGAGCCUCCAACUGAACUUCAGAUUAGACAGCAAGAAUUAUACAAGAAUUUUCUUCGUUUUCAGAUUGAGGAAAAGAAACAAAGAGAGGAAGCAGAGCGAGAGAGACUGAGAAUUGCCGAAGAAAAAGAAGAAAGACGGCUUGCAGAACAGAGGGCACGAAUUCAGCAGGAGUAUGAAGAGGAACAGGAAAAGAAAAGGGAGAAAGAGGAGGAGCAAAGGCUAAAAAAUGAAGAGCAUAUUCGGUUAGCUGAAGAAAGACAAAAAGAAGCAGAAAGAAAGAAGAAAGAAGAAGAAGAAAAAUAUAACCUGCAACUUCAGCACUACUAUGAAAGAGAUAAUUUGACUGGGGAAGAAACAAAGCGCUUGAGACAGCCUUCUCCUAUAGUUCCUGCCCUUCAGAACAAAAUUGCAAGCAAACUCCGAAGACCUCCUUCAGUUGACAGCAUCAUACGUUCCUUUAUUCAUGAAAGUUCCAUGUCCAGGGCACAGUCACCCCCGGUACCUGCCAGGAAAAAUCAGCUCCGUGCAGAAGAGGAGAAAAAAAAUGUAAUUAUGGAAUUAUCAGAAAUGAGAAAACAACUUCGUAGUGAAGAGAGGCGUCUACAAGAGCGAUUGCUACACAUGGACAGUGAUGAUGAAAUUCCUAUCAGGAAAAGGGAAAGGAAUCCCAUGGAUAUAUUUGAUAUGGCUAGACAUCGGUUGCAAGCUCCUGUCAGAAGACAGUCACCUAAGGGCUUAGACGCUGCCACUUUUCAGAAUAUUCAUGAUUUUAAUGAGCUGAAAGAUAGAGAUUCAGAAACACGAGUUGAUCUGAAAUUUAUGUACCCGGAUCCUCCAAGAGAUCAUCACACCUUAGAGAUUCAGCAGCAAGCCCUGCUAAGAGAGCAGCAGAAGAGGCUGAACAGAAUAAAAAUGCAAGAAGGUGCCAAAGUUGACUUAGAUGCCAUCCCAAGUGCUAAAGUACGAGAGCAAAGAAUGGUGCUUACGGUGAGACAUAUCCUGCCAUUGAAGAUGACGUCCUCCCUCCACCAUCACAGUUGCCCUCUGCACGGGAGCGCAGGAGGAACAAAUGGAAAGGACUAGACAUUGAUAGCAGUCGUCCUAAUGUAGCACCAGAUGGUCUCUCUCUAAAAUCUACAUCCAGUGUAAAUGUCGAUCAGCUUAGAAUGAGAAAUGAGGAACGAAUGCGAAGACUGAAUGAACUUCACAAUAAACCUAUUAAUACAGAUGAUGAGAGUUCACUGGUUGACCCUGAUGACAUCAUGAAACACAUAGGGGAUGACGGAUCAAACUCUGUAGCAACUGAGCCCUGGUUCCGCCCUGGCACUUCAGAAACACUGAAACGCUUCAUGGCAGAGCAGCUGAACCAGGAGCAGCAGCAGGUUCCUGGAAAACCAGGCACUUUCACUUGGCAGGGCCUGUCGACUGCACAUGGUUAAAAUAAACCUGUAUUGGACCCAGUAGUGCCUUUUAAGGUGAAAGGAAUGGUAAAUCUGUACCUUCAAUAAUAUGUCCUACUUUUGGCCCCUACCUGAAAGUUACUUUUUUUCCAUCUGUAUAUAAAAUUAUGAUGUAUAUUGUGUACAUAAAUAUAAGGCCAUGAUUAUUGAUUUAUAUAAUAGAAUUGUAUAGAAUUAUUUUUGCACAAUUUUGUCAUAAAUUAGUGUGGUAAUGAACUGAACUACUAUUUGUGCGUAUGUUGAAUUCUGCUUGUCAUUAAGGUGAAUAAGUGUCUUAACUGUCCUGUAAAACCAGACUCCCCUUUGUUACAUGCACAUUUUCCAUUGUUACCUCCAUGCAAAAGAAUUCAUUUAGUAGGUACAUCUAUUGUAGCUGUGAUUAUUCCAGUUUCUGUGUGACACAAUCAGAUGUCCUAUUUCAUGUUAUUUGUAGCUACUGAUACAGAAAUGAAGGGAACUGUAAUUGCUUGUAUUCUUGUAAGCCAUACAUUAAAUGUUACACCUUUCUGCUUCUAUUUUUAUUCCAAUGAAGGCAUUUGUUUUAAGUUACUAAUUUAUAUAACUACUUCUUGAUACAAAUAAAUUUUUAUUUUAAUUACUAAAAUCUUUUUAUUUUAACUACUAUGGAGCUUUCUAGACUAGUUUUCUGGAGGCUGAACAGAGGUGGGGACACCCGGGGGUCAAGGACAGAGAGACCGGAGUCGUCGUCUUGUUCCACCACCAUGGAACCUUGGAUAAGUAAGUCCAUGUGAGUUUUCUAAUCACUCAGUAACUGAUACUUUUUUAAAAAAAGGAGUCAUUCAAAUUAUGAAAUUCUGACUCAGAAUCUUCACAACCAUGACAGCUGAGAACAUCCCCAGGCACUGCUUCUCCAAUACAUCCUCUGAUGUAAUUAAUGGUAGACAAUAUCAGACAAAUUACUGAUAUUUUGAGUUUUGGCUAGUUGUAAAUUUUAUAUUUGAUUGAUUUUCUAAUUGGACCAUCGUUUGCUUUACUAGUAAAGAUUUGUUCUAUUGUCAUCUGAAAGAAAGAAGAAAGCCUCUGACUCUUCUAGGGGAAGAGUCCUAAUACUACACCAUUAAAUAAUCAACUGCCAGGUUGUGUGGAACACUUACCCUUCCUUGCACAGCAAGGUCACAGUGGCUCCCAGCUCUAGCAUCCAGCUGGGCUUGAACAGAGCUGUCUUAGGGGUAACAAAUACGGCACACUUACAAAUGCAUUGUUCAGUAACUUCAUUAUCUAAGAGAGGUGUGAAAGCAGAGACGACUGAAUACUUUUCCUCUUUAACACAACCAUGUUAGAUGAUAUUGACACAUUCCAUUUUUGUUUAAUGCCAUGUACCACACAACUUCAACUGACUCCUAAAACACACAAUAUUGCAAACUGUGCUGAAGAGAACUUUAGCUCUUUUCAGCACUCAAGUAGUGUAGCCUGAUGCUAGGUUAUUAAUAUAUAAAAUAUUAAUAUGCAAAAUAUCAAAAGAUUUUUGGGCUGGAUAUGGUGGCUUACGCCUAUAAUCCCAGCACUUUGGGAGGCUGAGUUGGGAGGAUCACUUCAGGUCCAAGAGUUUGAGACCAGUCUGGGCUAUUAAUAUAGUGAGAUCCCGUCUCUACAAAAAAAAGUUUUUUAAUUAGCCAAGUGUAGUGUUGUGUGCCUAUAGUCCUCACUACUGGGGAGGGUGGAGUGUGAGAAUCACGUGAGCCCCGUUUGAGGCUACAGUGAGCUGUGAUCAUACCACUGUGCUCCAACCUGGACAACAGAGUGAGAUCCAGUCUCUAAUAGAUACAUAAAAAUUUUAAAAACUGCCUUAAAAAUAAAUAUUCUAUGGUAAGUACAGUGUGAGGGAGGAUCUAAUGCUGGAAGCUGGAAAGAAAAUACCAGAACCAAACAAUACUGAAUUUGUAGUUCUGGCUGAAAAUAUCUUUUCCAUAGUAGUAUGGCCUUAACAGAAAAGAAUCAAUGAAACAUGGGGGUGGGUUAUACAGGUUUUGAUUGCACUGAUGAAAUAUUUCAAAAACUUUAUUGACCUAUAACCUGAUUAGAAUAUGCCAGAUGAGAAUCAAUAUUGUACAGAAAGUUGUACAGAAUUUUUUACAUAGAAAACUUUACAUCUGUACCAUAUACAUUUUAUCCAUCUGAAAAAAUUUUCUACAUCCACUGUUAAUACGGAAUGCUUGACAAUCUUGUCUUUCAACCAUCAGAGCACAAUUCACAGUAUGAAUACAUUUCCAGUAAAUCUAACCUCCGCAAACCAUGCCAGAUUUGUUAUUUUAAUAUAUUCAACAUUAAAUUCUGUACAUAGAGUAAAAUCUACAUCAAGCCCCACCACCCAAAAGAAAAGAAAAUGACAGCAAUCUGGAUUCAUUUUGCAGUGAUUCAAGUUUUGGUCCAUAAAGGAUCAUUCUAUUUUAAUGGCUCAUCUUUAAAAGCCCUAAGAGAAAUAUGUGACAGGUAGUUACUGUCAGUAGGGAUAUUUUCUACCUUUUUUUCCCUGUUGUUGAAGUGUCGGCCACAACAGCUUCUGGGCAUGUUAAAGCCUCAAAAUCA